UAGGGAAUCUUCGGCAAUGGACGAAAGUCUGACCGAGCAACGCCGCGUGAGUGAAGAAGGUUUUCGGAUCGUAAAACUCUGUUGUUAGAGAAGAACAAGGACGUUAGUAACUGAACGUCCCCUGACGGUAUCUAACCAGAAAGCCACGGCUAACUACGUGCCAGCAGCCGCGGUAAUACGUAGGUGGCAAGCGUUGUCCGGAUUUAUUGGGCGUAAAGCGAGCGCAGGCGGUUUCUUAAGUCUGAUGUGAAAGCCCCCGGCUCAACCGGGGAGGGUCAUUGGAAACUGGGAGACUUGAGUGAAGAAGAGGAGAGUGGAAUUCAAUGUGUAGCGGUGAAAUGCGUAGAUAUAUGGAGGAACACCAGUGGAGAAGGCGGCUCUCUGGUCUGUAACUGACGCUGAGGCUCGAAAGCGUGGGGAGCAAACAGG
rnacentral:rRNA from 1 species